rnacentral:rRNA from 1 species
AAUUCGAAGCAACGCGAAGAACCUUACCAGGCCUUGACAUGCAGAGAACUUUCCAGAGAUGGAUUGGUGCCUUCGGGAACUCUGACACAGGUGCUGCAUGGCUGUCGUCAGCUCGUGUCGUGAGAUGUUGGGUUAAGUCCCGUAACGAGCGCAACCCUUGUCCUUAGUUACCAGCACGUUAUGGUGGGCACUCUAAGGAGACUGCCGGUGACAAACCGGAGGAAGGUGGGGAUGACGUCAAGGUCAUCAUGGCCCUUACGGCCUGGGCUACACACGUGCUACAAUGGUCGGUACAAAGGGUUGCCAAGCCGCGAGGUGGAGCUAAUCCCAUAAAACCGAUCGUAGUCCGGAUCGCAGUCUGCAACUCGACUGCGUGAAGUCGGAAUCGCUAGUAAUCGUGAAUCAGAAUGUCACGGUGAAUACGUUCCCGGGCCUU